rnacentral:rRNA from 1 species
CAGCCGCCACGGGAAUACGUAGGGUGCGAGCGUUAAUCGGAAUUACUGGGCGUAAAGCGUGCGCAGGCGGUUAUAUAAGACAGAUGUGAAAUCCCCGGGCUCAACCUGGGACCUGCAUUUGUGACUGUAUAGCUAGAGUACGGUAGAGGGGGAUGGAAUUCCGCGUGUAGCAGUGAAAUGCGUAGAUAUGCGGAGGAACACCGAUGGCGAAGGCAAUCCCCUGGGCCUGCACUGACGCUCAUGCACGAAAGCGUGGGGAGCAAACAGGAUUAGAUACCCGCGUAGUCCCUGUCUCUUAUAC